AUUGAACGCUGGCGGCAUGCCUUACACAUGCAAGUCGAACGGUAACGCGGGGCAACCUGGCGACGAGUGGCGAACGGGUGAGUAAUAUAUCGGAACGUGCCCAAUAGUGGGGGAUAGCCCGGCGAAAGCCGGAUUAAUACCGCAUACGACCUGAGGGUGAAAGCGGGGGAUCGCAAGACCUCGCGCUAUUGGAGCGGCCGAUAUCAGAUUAGGUAGUUGGUGGGGGUAAAAAGCUUACCAAGCCUACGAUCUGUAGCUGGUCUGAGAGGACGACCAGCCACACUGGGACUGAGACACGGCCCAGACUCCUACGGGAGGCAGCAGUGGGGAAUUUUGGACAAUGGGCGCAAGCCUGAUCCAGCCAUGCCGCGUGCGGGAAGAAGGCCUCGGGUU
rnacentral:rRNA from 1 species